ACAAAAGUGCCAAUACAGAAAUGAAAAAAAAAAGUAUGAUACAAUGUAGAAUGUCUCACAAUAGAGAUCAUAGAACUUUAGAAACAAUCUCAAUUCUAUUUCUUCCUGUGUUCUUUAUCUGUAGUAUCAAGAGAAUAUACUACAUAAUGUUUUAAUAUCCCAUUCUAGUUCAAUGCUGUGGUCAUAAAGAUAACGAAAAGAUUUGUAGAACAACCAAAAGUUAAAUGUACACGUGUGUUGAAGGAAAAAUGGAAAAGAAACAAUUUUAAUAGAACAAUGAAGUUGGAAUAACAAAAUUCCAAAAGAGUUUCUUACCAGGAGGUGGUUGUGAUGGGUUGAAACUUGCUCGUAAGAAAGGAGGUGGAGGAAUUGCACUAAAUCCUGGAGGAGGAACGGACAUUGACACUGGAAAUGUUGGUGGAACUAAACUAACUGUCUGCAAAUGUGGCUUGGAAAAAAACCAGAAGACAGUCUAUAAUUACUAUUACCACUGAAAGGAGCAAACCUCUGCCACAGAUGGACUUUCAGAGCUUCAGAAGGACAUCAGACGAUUCCCAAGCAGAAUUCCAAUACUUCUGGUUGACCACAGAUAAUAAAACCGUGGAAAGUUAA